GUGGUAUCCUGUCUGAAUAUGGGGGGACCAUCCUCCAAGGCUAAAUACUCCUGACUGACCGAUAGUGAACCAGUACCGUGAGGGAAAGGCGAAAAGAACCCCGGCGAGGGGAGUGAAAAAGAACCUGAAACCGUGUACGUACAAGCAGUGGGAGCACGCUUAGGCGUGUGACUGCGUACCUUUUGUAUAAUGGGUCAGCGACUUAUAUUCUGUAGCAAGGUUAACCGAAUAGGGGAGCCGAAGGGAAACCGAGUCUUAACUGGGCGUUAAGUUGCAGGGUAUAGACCCGAAACCCGGUGAUCUAGCCAUGGGCAGGUUGAAGGUUGGGUAACACUAACUGGAGGACCGAACCGACUAAUGUUGAAAAAUUAGCGGAUGACUUGUGGCUGGGGGUGAAAGGCCAAUCAAACCGGGAGAUAGCUGGUUCUCCCCGAAAGCUAUUUAGGUAGCGCCUCGUGAAUUCAUCUCCGGGGGUAGAGCACUGUUUCGGCAAGGGGGUCAUCCCGACUUACCAACCCGAUGCAAACUGCGAAUACCGGAGAAUGUUAUCACGGGAGACACACGGCGGGUGCUAACGUCCGUCGUGAAGAGGGAAACAACCCAGACCGCCAGCUAAGGUCCCAAAGUCAUGGUUAAGUGGGAAACGAUGUGGGAAGGCCCAGACAGCCAGGAUGUUGGCUUAGAAGCAGCCAUCAUUUAAAGAAAGCGUAAUAGCUCACUGGUCGAGUCGGCCUGCGCGGAAGAUGUAACGGGGCUAAACCAUGCACCGAAGCUGCGGCAGCGACGCUUAUGCGUUGUUGGGUAGGGGAGCGUUCUGUAAGCCUGCGAAGGUGUGCUGUGAGGCAUGCUGGAGGUAUCAGAAGUGCGAAUGCUGACAUAAGUAACGAUAAAGCGGGUGAAAAGCCCGCUCGCCGGAAGACCAAGGGUUCCUGUCCAACGUUAAUCGGGGCAGGGUGAGUCGACCCCUAAGGCGAGGCCGAAAGGCGUAGUCGAUGGGAAACAGGUUAAUAUUCCUGUACUUGGUGUUACUGCGAAGGGGGGACGGAGAAGGCUAUGUUGGCCGGGCGACGGUUGUCCCGGUUUAAGCGUGUAGGCUGGUUUUCCAGGCAAAUCCGGAAAAUCAAGGCUGAGGCGUGAUGACGAGGCACUACGGUGCUGAAGCAACAAAUGCCCUGCUUCCAGGAAAAGCCUCUAAGCAUCAGGUAACAUCAAAUCGUACCCCAAACCGACACAGGUGGUCAGGUAGAGAAUACCAAGGCGCUUGAGAGAACUCGGGUGAAGGAACUAGGCAAAAUGGUGCCGUAACU
rnacentral:rRNA from 1 species